AACUGAUACUACCUGCGGGAACCUGCGGAAGGAUCAUUACCAAGAGAAAUCUUUCAACACUGAAAGAUCUUUUCCUUUGUGCUGGCUUUGACCGUAUGUAAUUUUGGGACUUUAAAAUGGUUCGCAAGGGCCGGUCCCAAAAACAAUAUAUCAUCCUUAUGAAAUUUUUUCUGAACAAUUAAACAAAUGAUUUUAAUAAUCUGUUUAAAACAACUUUCAGCAACGGAUCUCUAGAUCGGA
rnacentral:misc_RNA from 1 species